AUUGAACGCUGGCGGCAUGCCUAACACAUGCAAGUCGAACGGCAGCACGACCUAGCUUGCUAGGUUGGUGGCGAGUGGCGCACGGGUGAGUAACGCGUAGGAAUAUACCUUAAAGUGGGGGACAACCUGGGGAAACUCAGGCUAAUACCGCAUGAGCUCUAAGGAGGAAAGCUGGGGACCUUUCGGGGCCUGGCGCUUUAAGAAUAGCUUACGUCCGAUUAGUUAGUUGGUGGGGUAAAGGCUUACCAAGACGAUGAUCGGUAGCUGGUCUGAGAGGAUGAUCAGCCACACUGGGACUGAGACACGGCCCAGACUCCUACGGGAGGCAGCAGUGGGGAAUAUUGGACAAUGGGGGAAACCCUGAUCCAGCGAUGCCGCGUGUGUGAAGAAGGCCUGCGGGUUGUAAAGCACUUUCGGUGGGGAGGAGGACUUAUAGGUUAGGAGCUAAUGAGUUGGACGUUACCCACAUAAGAAGCACCGGCUAACUCCGUGCCAGCAGCCGCCGUAA
rnacentral:rRNA from 1 species